UGUACAAAGAAGGACACAAUAGUGUUCGGAAUAUUUUUUUCUUGUCUGUGAAAAUAUACAGCUCUUCUGGACACUCAUUCUUAAAAAAAUCAGAUGCUACUUUAAUACGAUCUGUACCGUUAGUAAAGACAAUGUUCCGUGACAAAACGUGACCAUACUGCCACGCCAAUUUCUGGUGGCACUGCACGUCGCGCAUGCGUCUUGUUAUCCUCAUGUAAGUGCGCAGACGAAGCCGGAAUCAACACAGAAAACGUGGCGGCCAGACUGGUACCUCUCCGCGCACGUAUAAGCGGACGUGUUUGUAUAGACUUUUAUGAUGCAUUUUACUCCUCCGCGGACGACCGCCUGCCGCACUACAAAUUUGUCUUUAAACGCCAACAUAGAUGAUUUUGAUGAGGAUUGGGGUAGUUUGCAAACCCUACAGCCAAUUUUCAAGACUCCUGCCAGCUGACGCUGGACCCCAACACAGCACACAGAUUCCUGUCUCUGUCAGGGGGGAACAGGAAGGUGACAGGGGGGGCAGAGCAGCCAUAUCCUGAUCAUCCAGAGAGAUUUGACAGCUGGAGCCAAGUUCUGUGCAGAGAGAGUCUGACUGGCCGCUGUUACUGGGAGGCUGAGUGGGAUGGAGAUGCAGCCUGGAUAGGAGUGACUUAUAAAGAGAUCGAGAGGAAAGGAGGGAGUUAUGACUGUGGGCUUGGAGCCAAUAACAAGUCAUGGAGUCUGUGCUGUAAUACUGACAGUUACUCUGUCCUGCACAAUAAUAAACAGACUCUCAUACCCAUACAGCCCUCAGGCUCCCGCAGAGUAGGAGUGUAUCUGGACUGGGGGGCUGGUGCUCUGUCCUUCUACAGAGUCUCCUCUGAUGGACUGACCCUCCUGCACAGAUUCACCUCCUCAUUCACUGAACCCCUCUAUCCAGGGUUUGGGGUUUAUCCAAACUCCCCCGUGUCGCUGUGCAUGCUGGGAUAGCUCACUGUGUGCUGGAGGAAUCAUUUUUACCGUAUCAGAGUCUCACAUGUCGCUGCUUCUCCGUGGCAAAAAGGUAAAAUCUCUGCUUUAUAACCAGUAUAACCCUUUUUACUCUGUCUGAAGUGUGAUGUAUGUUAAUAAAACAAGUAAUUGGGUUCUGUAAGCUGAACAAACAUACAAAAUGACUGUUUUUCUCUGACUUAUGUUCUAUGUUGGCUGUUAAUGCACCAAAACUGCCAAAACAAAUUCAUAGUACAUGCAGUUGUACUAAUGGAGUGAAUUCUGAUUCUGAAUAAAAUAAAAUGUAAUGAAAUCUAAGCCUGAUGAGUGGGGGGAGCUUUUCCCCUCCCCUCUAUAUGUAUAUUUUAUAUUUCUGUCUAUAUAUUGUAUUUGCUACCUGUACACUGACAAUAAAGGCUUCCUAUUCUAUCCCA